rnacentral:misc_RNA from 1 species
UGUGACCCCUUCUGCAUGAUCCUCCUGGUGGGGGUUGUGGUGGUGGGGGUCUGCUGGUGAGCGGACCGGUCGUGGUAGGGUACUGCUCCCCGUGUGGGGGUGGGUUCUACUGUGUCGGCUGGGGCCGUCCGUACGUUGAGAACUGCACAGUGGACGCGAGCAUCUUUGUGGCCAAGUUAUUAAGGGCGCACGGUGGAUGUCUUGGCACCAGGAGCCGAUGAAGGACGUGGGAGGCUGCGAUAUGCCUCGGGGAGCUGCCAACCGAGCUGUGAUCCGAGGAUUUCCGAAUGGGGAAACCCGG